CUGUAUCAGCUGAUCCCCGGAAAUAUUUCUCCAUCUCUCUUUUUAGUAAAACUUGAACACAUAUCCCAAUCCACUACAAAAAUAACAGAUAAGAACCAAGUAGAAAAACAUAAGGAAUCAAGAAAUGCUAUUUUUAAUGUUUGCACGCUACUGAACUGCAUAUGUAAUGGCCCAUACAUGUUAGCACUUCCCAACCUUCUAUUCAUUCAGGUCUCCAAUUACAUCAGCACUGUAGGAUACUUCACAUGCCUUUAUUUCAUAGCCCUAUUGGAAGUGUGGCCUUAAAUAUGAGAAGUUUUUAAAAUGACAGGUGUUUCUAUAACAACUCUUCACUGCAAAGAGCAGCCAAGAAAAGUGUCCUCUAAAGACGUGGUUCUUUCUCUUCCAUCCCCCUCUCUCAACCAUGCUAAAAAUUGUUUGUUCUCUCGACAGACCUGGAAUAGGCACAAGACUCUGCAAUACUCUGCCUUUCCCCUGGAAGCAGUUUUCUACAGGUCAGAAGGUGGUUUCCAGGUGGACUAGGGGUGACUGGCAAUGCCACUGCCCUCCCUGAGGCACAUCCACAUGGCUGCUGUCACCACUGGCCUGGUCCUCAGCUAGAUGGCACACUGGGUCACCGCAGGGAGUUAAUGAGGCCAAGGCUCCAACAGAGAAAGAGGUACAGAACAUAUUGCAUCUCCUAUAAGAAACUGACCACCUCUGCAACUCAACCAAUGAGAAACCAUCAAAACCCUGAACUCUUGGUUUUCUCCAAGGGACUUUCCUUUAAAACAACACCUCCCAAUUCCUUCCUUCUUCUCCAUAAAAUAACAUUUCUCUCUGUAGGACUUACCUAUGGGCUUGCCAUAGCUUGCUUGUCCUGAAUUACAAUUCUCUUGUUCCUGAAUAAACCCAUUUUUGCUGA